AAAAUUGCGGGGGGUUUAGCGUCGCCGCCUGAGGGAUUACGGCCUUCGAAAUUCCCAAACCUCUUUCACCCAUGACGAAGCGCAAGUGACGGUAGUGGGAGAAUAAGCACCGGCCAACUACGUGCCACCAGCCGCGGUAAUACGUAGGGUGCGAGCGUUGUCCGGAAUUACUGGGCGUAAAGAGCUCGUAGGCGGUUUGUCGCGUCGUCUGUGAAAUCCCGCACCUCAACUGCGGGCUUGCAGGCGAUACGGGCAGACUCGAGUACUGCAGGGGAGACUGGAAUUCCUGGUGUAGCGGUGAAAUGCGCAGAUAUCAGGAGGAACACCGGUGGCGAAGGCGGGUCUCUGGGCAGUAACUGACGCUGAGGAGCGAAAGCGUGGGUAGCGAACAGGAUUAGAUACCCUGGUAGUCCACGCCGUAAACGGUGGGCGCUAGGUGUGGGUUUCCUUCCACGGGAUCCGUGCCGUAGCCAACGCAUUAAGCGCCCCCGCCUGGGGAGUACGGCCGCAUGGCUAAAACUCAAAUGAAUUGACGGGGG
rnacentral:rRNA from 1 species